UGUACAAGUGUGAUUUUACUUUCUCUGUCUUCCUCUUUUGUACUAAGCUCUUCUUCCUUUUAAUGUUGUCUUUUCUAACUCUGUUGCAUGUCAUUGAUUUGAUACCCCUUCUAGUUUCUUAUUGAGAAUUAUUUUGUUUCCUCUUAACCCUUAACCCUGCUGUGAUCUCAUCCAUAUAGCAAAUGUGUACAGCACCACUCAGCACAGACAGGGUUAAGAACAGCCUGUCUCACCUAUGUUGUAUGUGAAUGUCUCUGUUUUCUCCUGUGCCCUGUUGAACUGAUAAACAGUGGACAGUGACGUAGACUACGCCACUGGCUCCAGUGUUGUGGAUGGGCCAGUGUCGGGGCAGGGCAGGUUACUACAGUCCUUUCAGGCUAGUUCUGCAUUGGAGGGAGACAUAGACAUUACCGUAGGCACCAGUGUGGUCGGUAGUUCUGCCUCUAGACCAGACAGGCCUCUGUCAUCCUUCACAAAUAGUUUUGGGAAUGAGUGUAACACAGAUGUCACCACAAAUGACUCUCUUGAAGAUGACCCUGCCCAACCUGCUCAAGAACACUCUCUGCCUUCUGUUCAAACUAAAUGUGAAGUCGGUAUGUUUAGAUGAUAUUCAGUGCAACCUUUUGACAACUUCUCUCAACAAUUUCGCUGUCAUUUCUUCUCACACAUAGUUUAAUCACAAACAUCAGAGUGCUUGGUGUUAUCUUUCUUUUCUGCUGGUCUGUCCUUUAUUUUCCUCUUCUGUCUCAUGUUUUACCUGUCUUCUCUGUCUGUGUCUGUCCCUCUCU